rnacentral:rRNA from 1 species
CUCCUACGGGAGGCAGCAGUGGGGAAUCUUCCGCAAUGGGCGCAAGCCUGACGGAGCAACGCCGCGUGAGUGAGGAAGGCCUUCGGGUUGUAAAACUCAGUCACCUGGGAAGAGAGGUAUGGGGAGUGGAAUGCCCCAUACGAGACGGUACCAGGGGAGGAAGCCCCGGCUAACUACGUGCCAGCAGCCGCGGUAAUACGUAGGGGGCAAGCGUUGUCCGGAAUCACUGGGCGUAAAGCGUGCGUAGGCGGUCUUUCAAGUCCGGGGUGAAAACUCAAGGCUCAACCUUGAGAAUGCCUUGGAAACUGGGGGACUUGAGUACUGGAGAGGCAAGGGGAAUUCCACGUGUAGCGGUGAAAUGCGUAGAGAUGUGGAGGAAUACCAGUGGCGAAGGCGCCUUGCUGGACAGUGACUGACGCUGAGGCACGAAAGCGUGGGGAGCAAACAGGAUUAGAUACCCUGGUAGUCCACGCCGUAAACGAUGAGUGCUAGGUGUUGGGGGUUCAUCCCCUCAGUGCCGAAGGAAGCCCAAUAAGCACUCCGCCUGGGGAGUACGGUCGCAAGACUGAAACUCAAAGGAAUUGACGGGGGCCCGCACAAGCAGUGGAGCAUGUGGUUUAAUUCGAAGCAACGCGAAGAACCUUACCAGGGCUUGACAUCCCUCGGACCGGUUCAGAGAUGGACCUUCCCUUCGGGGCAGAGGAGACAGGUGGUGCAUGGUUGUCGCCAGCUCGUGUCGUGAGAUGUUGGGUUAAGUCCCGCAACGAGCGCAACCCUUGACCUGUGUUACCAGCACGUAAUGGUGGGGACUCACAGGUGACUGCCGGCGUAAGUCGGGGGAAGGUGGGGAUGACGUCAAAUCAUCAUGCCCUUUAUGUCCUGGGCUACACACGUGCUACAAUGGGCGGUACAACGGGAAGCGAGACCGCGAGGUGGAGCGAAACCCAAAAAGCCGUUCGUAGUUCGGAUUGCAGGCUGCAACCCGCCUGCAUGAAGCCGGAAUUGCUAGUAAUCGCGGAUCAGCAUGCCGCGGUGAAUCCGUUCCCGGGCCUUGCACACACCGCCCGU